UGCAGCGACGCCGCGUGGGGGAUGAAGGCCUUCGGGUUGUAAACUCCUUUCGCUCGUGACGAAGCCUUCGGGUGACGGUAGCGGGAGAAGAAGCACCGGCUAACUACGUGCCAGCAGCCGCGGUAAUACGUAGGGUGCGAGCGUUGUCCGGAAUUAUUGGGCGUAAAGAGCUUGUAGGCGGUUUGUCGCGUCUGCUGUGAAAGCCCGGGGCUUAACUCCGGGUCUGCAGUGGGUACGGGCAGGCUAGAGUGUGGUAGGGGAGACUGGAAUUCCUGGUGUAGCGGUGAAAUGCGCAGAUAUCAGGAGGAACACCGAUGGCGAAGGCAGGUCUCUGGGCCAUUACUGACGCUGAGAAGCGAAAGCAUGGGGAGCAAACAGGAUUAGAUACCCUGGUAGUCCAUGCCGUAAACGUUGGGCGCUAGGUGUGGGCCUCAUUCCACGAGGUCUGUGCCGUAGCUAACGCAUUAAGCGCCCCGCCUGGGGAGUACGGCCGCAAGGCUAAAACUCAAAGGAAUUGACGGGGGCCCGCACAAGCGGCGGAGCAUGCGGAUUAAUUCGAUGCAACGCGAAGAACCUUACCAAGGCUUGACAUACACCAGAUCGCAGCACAGAUGUUGUUUCC
rnacentral:rRNA from 1 species